UGGGCGGGCGGGACUUCCGGUGGCGGUUCCUUAGCGGGGCGGCUUGCGCGGUAGCGCCUCAGGGAAGAACUUCCGGGAGAAGCGGGCUGGCUGGUGGACGCGCGCAGUCCUCGCGAGACUCCGUAGGUGCGCCCUCGCGAGGUCUGGCCGGGACUUCCGGUCGGAGUUCGUAGCGCGGUAGCGCCUCAGCGAACUUCCGGGAGAAGCGGGCUGGCUCGUGAGGAGACACAACCCUCUCCCGGUACUUCCUGUCUGUGUUCCGGUUUCCGGUCUCGGCCUGUCGCUCGCCCUGGAGGGUCCCGCGCGGUGCGCGGUCGCAGUCGCGCGCUUUGGCCGGAGUCCGAGUUCGGAGCACCAGAACACGCUGUUCCGCCCCGGGCCGCUUCCAGCCCCGGGACAGGGGCGGGGCUCCGGGUCAUGGCGUCCCGGCCCGCCACGUGUGACGCGCUGACUCGGGACGGUCUACGCAAGAGGCUGUACCGGACGUUCAAGGAGCGGGGCGUGCUGGACGCGCUCAAGACGCAGCUGAGGAACCUGCUGGUGCGCGAGCUGACGCGCCCCCCUGC
rnacentral:lncRNA from 1 species